UACAGAGGGUGCGAGCGUUAAUCGGAAUUGCUGGGCGUAAAGAGCACGUAGGCGGUUGUGUAAGUUGGAUGUGAAAGUCCUGGGCUUAACCUGGGAAAGCCAUUUGAAACUGCACAACUGGAAUACAAGAGAGGUAAGUGGAAUUUCCGGUGUAGCGGUGAAAUGCGUAGAGAUCGGAAGGAACACCAGUGGCGAAGGCGGCUUACUGGCUUGAUAUUGACGCUGAGGUGCGAAGGCAUGGGUAGCGAACAGG
rnacentral:misc_RNA from 1 species